CCUGGCCCUGAAGCACGAGAUGAGAGAGCGGAAACACUUGUCUGUGGAAUACCCGUUCGCCAUCUUUCGUUCUCAGAGAAGGGAGAGGAUUCUCCCAAGGAGAGAGACGGGUUGCUGUAUUUGCUCAACAGGACUUUGCAAACGUAACCGCCCGCCGGGCAGGGAGUGUCUGUUUGAUCCAGGAAGGAGGAAACACCCUUUGCUGCCUGGAAACACCCCUUGUCAGCAAAAACGUGGAGGGCGUGAAAGCGCGUGACUCGGGACUUCCCAGGCCAGGAGUGAAGAGAAAACUGGCACAGACUAUCCUGCCGACAGGAAGGAGUUACCCUUGGCUGGUGAAUGCAGGCAGGUUCUGGCCCAGCCAGAGUGGUAAGACUGCAGGGGACCAGUGGAGAGAUGAAGCUAAGACAUCUGUCUAGAGAUGUGUAACCCCAGGACCCCAGGAUAAAGUGGCCUCUGCACCUUUCUAGAAUAAAUCUGACCUCUUGUGGGUCUCCAAGAACUAACUCUUUCCCCCGGGCGUUUGUGGGUGGGUAUGAAAAAGAGUGACUAAUGAUCAACAGUUAACUUUACUGCCUCGUGCAUAGAUGUAGUGUUUAUUUGUGUUUGACCAGGGCCUGGUGACAGAUGCAGAGGACUUUAAUCACCAACUCAGUUUAGGAGGAAGCCAAGACUGAAGGUUUCUCUCUCUCAGCAUGUAAGUUUCCCAUAUUUUUAAUAUACAACUUUCCUUUAAUAAAACAAAACAAAAUCCCCAACAACUUAUUUUUGAUAUAACUGCCAUUCUUUUCUUGGAUUCAGUACAGCAAGUUUUGGCUGAAGCAGCUAAGAACUUAAUUAGCAACUAAUGUACCAACUUGUAGUAAACAUCAACAUUUGUCUAUGUCAUGAGGGAAAAAAAGACACCCACACUGAAAAAUGGCAGCUUCAUUUCAGAACAGGAGCCACAUAAAUGUGAGUUCUGCGGCCCUGGGUGACUGUGGGUGGUAGUGUGUAUGCUUCAUAAUGAGAACUUCAUGGUCCAGAAUUGUAGGGAGGUUGGAGCAGUCAUUAGGCUAUCAAAAAGAUAUAUGUAGAAAAAGUAAUCUAUUAGCAAAGCACAUUCAAUGAAGUUUAAAUAGGCCAGGGAAGCCUGGGCUAUGCUGUGGACUAGAUAAGAGAAAUCUAGUCUUUGUAAUUUUGGGGGCAUACAAAAUAUCCAACUGAGUACUUUGUAGCAUGUUGUCUAAUUUUUUCCUCGAAUUGUAUUAUGUAGCUAAGCCUUUUUCUUCCCUGAAGAGUUGUAAACUACUUGAAGAAAGGACAUAUUUACACAGUAACCAGUACAAUACUCAACAAAUAGUAGACCCUAGCUGAUUUUCCCCCUGAAUGGGAGUUUUAUUUGCCUUGACUGGAGCAGGUGGCCUGAUGUCACAGACACAGUGAAAGUUGUUGAAGGAAAUGGAACCUUGGCCUUGCAGGUUGGCCUAAUUUAUGCUGUUAUUUUCUGUCUCUUCAUGAACACUGCUAUAUCUUUACCGACUUUUGGGAGUUUACUUGGUACCUAGGUAGAAGAUAAUCAUACUAGAUGUUUCUACAUAAGUAUUCAAAUUAUUAAUUUUAGUUAUUGUAUCUAUGAAGAUAUCUAGAAUCUCUCCCUCACCCCCUCAGGUGCUGGCAGGUUUCAUUCAGUAGGUUAAAGCAGAAACAAACAAAUCAAAAAAACAUUCUGUGCCGUGGUACCCAUUCUUCUAUCCUUUAGUUUCAAACACGGGGGAAUAAGAAGGGUUUGCUUGUUAAAUAUGGGGAAAUGAUGUCAUCUUCUUAACACCUUAACAGGAAUUGCUGUCCUGGUGAGAGGGGGUUCAAAGUAGAAGUUUAAAUGUUUUGUGGUUAGAUUAUAUCAUUCAUUCAUUCAAUCAUUUAAAAAAUAUUUAUAUAUGACCAGUGUUGCUCUAGGUGCAGUUAAUAAACUAAACAAAGUUCCUACUUUUAUGGAGUGCACAUGCUAAUGGGAGUGGGAAGACAGAUAAUAAAUAAUAACUAGAAAAUAUAAAAUGUGCCGGGUGAGGAUAAGUGCUCUGAGGACUAUGGUGAGAUGUAGAUAAUAAUACAUACUAGUGUUUCCCUGGUUGAUUUUCCAUAUAGAUGCCCUCACCUCACCCUCUCCAUUAGCAUCACUCAAUAUCCAUCAAUAACAAUUCAUGUUUACUCUCAAGUAAGAGUCACUUUGAUGAUGAGGAUUGAGUGAUGAGGACUGAGAAUGAGUGGGAGCACACGAGUUUUUCCUCGAAAGGGAGACCUCUUUUCUAGGAGUCUACCAUAAUCUUGAUAGGACUCCUUCUGGAGGAAAGAGGUUGAGGGAAAAAAAUCCAAGCCACAACCUCUCAAAAUGUAUCCUUUUUCUUCAUCUAUAUUUUUGCAUUAUGAUUUAGUUUAUUUUCUUCUUUUUGUUUGAAUAAUAUUUUCCUCUGUCAAGUUUCUUCCCAUAACUUUCAUUUUCAUCCUCCUUAUUGUUUUCUAAAUGUAAGUUUCUGUUUCCUUUCUCCUUUGAGAUAGGAAAUCUUGCUGAUCUAUAUCUUUUCCUUUUCUCUAGACCUACCUUUUUUUUUUUAAACCUAAAAGAAACAUUUUAAUGUUCAUCAUUUUUAAAAGUCACCCUUUAGCAUGUUAUUUUUUAAAUAGUAAUUCAGGAAGAUACUAGAUAACAGAUUCCUGCUGUUAUCCAACUUUUCGUUUGAGUUUUCUACAAUUAAGAAGUAGUACAAAUCACAGUUGUCACUUCUUUGACAAACUAGAACUACAAUUUAAUGGCCACACAUGGCAGUAAUGUCUUUUCCAAAGAAAAUGACAAUAAAUUUAGUUAAAUGAGGAAAUCCUUCUAGAAUUGUUAUUCUGUUUCUUCAUUAAUUUACUAAAUUGCAUCAAUAAAGAGCUUACUCUGUGGCAUUUAAAGUUAGAUGCCCUUAACCUACCAGUAUAGAGUUGUGAUUAAGCGUAGAGAUUCUGAGCUUAGGAUGUCAAAUUUCUCAGUUGUAAGAUGAUAAUGAUACCAGUACCAUGUCUUAAGAUUGUUCGAAGGAUGGACUGUAAAGCACUUAGCCCCAGGCCUGUAAUGUUAUAUGUGCCCAGUGAGUGACCACCAACAUUCUUACCAACAAUGAGUAAGAGAUGACGCUAGUUCUCAAAGAAUGCACGAUUUACAGAGGAAAUAAAUUAGUCAUGCACAGAAACACUAUAUAAUAAUUAGCCAUGUAACUCAGUUUUUAGACAGCGUUGCUUUUUGCAAGAAACGGAAGCUGAUAGGCUGAUUUAGCAGAAAAGUUUAUUAAAAGGAUACUGUCAUAGCUUUAUAUUUCAAAAACAUAAGUAGUUCCAAAAUAGAAAAAUAAAUUCAGAAAUUCUGGCUGUUAUUAGAUCAUGAUACUCAUUUCUUAAUUACUUCCACCAAUUCAGUUAUAAAGUUCUGGUUUUAAAUGUGCACAUGUAAAAGCUUUUCUACAUAACAAAACUGUUUUGACAAAAAAAUAAUCAGGUGUCAGUGGAAAAUUUUUAAACAUCCAUUUUUCCAAAUGCUUCUUCUGUAGCUUAAGUGCUUUCAAAAACAGUUACUUGCACAUUUAUACAUAUUUUUGUUAAAACAGCACCUUUACCUCAAAGGCAUAGAUUGGCUGUGCUUCUUUUACUUUAUUUUAAAAUAAAUGCUUAAGAGCAAACUAUAGUCAAAUGUAGUUAGAGUUCCAUUGUCUUUGCCUUGAAGUCAUGGUUGGCAUUUGGCUGGUAGGUAUUUGGGGGUUAGAUGUCUCAGCCUGUGUCUGUUCUAACUGAGGGGUGGCUGUUCCAAUUGCUUAAUACUCACCCCAUACAAUUAAUUAAAAUAUCUUUAUUUAACCUCUGUUCUAUUAUAACUGACAAAGUUUUGAAGUAGGAUUAUUGUCAAGUGAGUUAUUAAAAUCAAAUAUUGAACCAAUCUUUUGACUUGCUAAAUCAUAAAAGGUUAAACUAAGAUUUUUAAAAAAUAAUAAAGCAUUGUCAAUUACAAAAUAUUUUUUAUUAUUAAUGCACUAGA